rnacentral:rRNA from 1 species
UACGUAGGAUGCGAGCGUUGUCCGGAAUUAUUGGGCGUAAAGCGAACGUAGGCGGUCUUUUAAGUUUGGUCUUAAAGACCGGGGCUCAACCCCGGGAAUGGACUGAAAACUGGGAGACUGGAGGAUGUCAGAGGAAAGUGGAAUUCCGAGUGUAGCGGUGAAAUGCGUAGAUAUUCGGAGGAACACCAGUGGCGAAAGCGACUUUCUGGGGCAUUCCUGACGCUGAGGUUCGAAAGCUCGGGGAGCAAACAGG